GAUGAACGCUGGCGGCGUGCCUAAUACAUGCAAGUCGAGCGAACAGACGAGGAGCUUGCUCCUCUGACGUUAGCGGCGGACGGGUGAGUAACACGUGGAUAACCUACCUAUAAGACUGGGAUAACUUCGGGAAACCGGAGCUAAUACCGGAUAAUAUAUUGAACCGCAUGGUUCAAUAGUGAAAGACGGUUUUGCUGUCACUUAUAGAUGGAUCCGCGCCGCAUUAGCUAGUUGGUAAGGUAACGGCUUACCAAGGCAACGAUGCGUAGCCGACCUGAGAGGUUGAUCGGCCACACUGGAACUGAGACACGGUCCAGACUCCUACGGGAGGCAGCAGUAGGGAAUCUUCCGCAAUAGGCGAAAGCUUGACGGAGCAACGCCGCGUGAGUGAUGAAGGUCUUCGGAUCGUAAAACUCUGUUAUUAGGGAAGAACAAAUGUGUAAGUAACUAUGCACGUCUUGACGGUACCUAAUCAGAAAGCCACGGCUAACUACGUG
rnacentral:rRNA from 1 species